UAGGUGUUUCAUAUAAAUCUGUAGAUAUGGUACAGAUGUUUCUAGCUCAAACCGUAAAUUUGAGACUAUGAAUCAACAUUCUUUU
rnacentral:ncRNA from 1 species